rnacentral:rRNA from 1 species
AGAGUGCGUAAUAGCUCACUAGUCGAGAGGUCCUGCGCCGAAAAUGUCCGGGGCUAAAACACAACACCGAAGCUUAGGAAUGUAGAAAUACAUUGGUAGAGGAGCAUUCUUAAAGGAAUGAAGCAGUACCGAUAAGGAGCUGUGGACUUUUAAGAAGAGAGAAUGCCGGAAUGAGUAGCGAGAUGGAGGUGGGAAUCCUCCAGGCCGAAUAUCCAAGGUUUCCAGAGUAAAGCUGAUCUGCUCUGGGUAAGUCGGGGCCUAAGGUAAGGCUGAGAAGCGUAGCCGAUGGACAACAGGUUGAGAUUCCUGUACCGCGUAUCAUCAGAACUGUGGGGACACAGAAGGACAGCACAUCCCGGGAAUGGAAAGACCGGGGCAAGCAGGGUAGGAGUUAAGCUGGCAAAUCCGCUUAACAAUCCGAAGCUGUGAUGCGGAGCGAAUUUAAGUAGCGAAGUGUGCGAUUCCGGCUGUCAAGAAAAGCCGCUAUUGUGUGAUACGUGCCCGUACCGUAAACCGACACAGGUAGAUGAGGAGAGAAUCCUAAGGCCGGCGGGAGAAGCAUUGUUAAGGAACUCGGCAAAAUGACCCUGUAACUUCGGGAGAAAGGGUGCCUGGGAAACCAGGCCGCAGAGAAUAGGCUCAAGCAACUGUUUAGCAAAAACACAGGUCUAUGCAAAACCGUAAGGUGAGGUAUAUGGGCUGACGCCUGCCCGGUGCUGGAAGGUUAAGAGGAGGGGUUAGCGCAAGCGAAGCUCUGAAUUGAAGCCCCAGUAAACGGCGGCCGUAACUAUAACGGUCCUAAGGUAGCGAAAUUCCUUGUCGGGUAAGUUCCGACCCGCACGAAAGGCGUAAUGAUUUGAGCGCUGUCUCGACAAUGCACCCGGUGAAAUUGAAAUACCAGUGAAGAUGCUGGUUACCUGCGCCAGGACGGAAAGACCCCAUGGAGCUUUACUCCAGCUUGAUACUGGGAUUCGGUACUGCAUGUACAGGAUAGGUGGGAGACUGAGAACUGAUGACGCCAGUUGUCAGGGAGUCACUGUUGGGAUACCACCCUUGUAGUAUUGGAUUUCUAACCAGCAGCCGUGAACCGGCUGGGGGACAAUGUCAGGUGGGGAGUUUGACUGGGGCGGUCGCCUCCGAAAGGGUAUCGGAGGCGCUCAAAGGUUCCCUCAGAAUGGUUGGAAACCAUUCGAAGAGUGCAAAGGCAGAAGGGAGCUUGACUGCGACACCGACGGGUGGAGCAGGUACGAAAGUAGGACUUAGUGAUCCGGUGGUAUAAAGUGGGAUUGCCAUCGCUCAACGGAUAAAAGCUACCCUGGGGAUAACAGGCUUAUCACUCCCAAGAGUUCACAUCGACGGAGUGGUUUGGCACCUCGAUGUCGGCUCAUCGCAUCCUGGGGCUGAAGUAGGUCCCAAGGGUUGGGCUGUUCGCCCAUUAAAGCGGUACGCGAGCUGGGUUCAGAACGUCGUGAGACAGUUCGGUCCCUAUCCGGCGUGGGCGUAGGAUAUUUGAGAGGAGCUGUCCUUAGUACGAGAGGACCGGGAUGGACGGGCCGCUGGUGUACCUGUUGGAGUGCCAACUCCAUGGCAGGGUAGCCAAGCCCGGACGGGAUAAACGCUGAAGGCAUCUAAGCGUGAAGCCCCCCUCAAGAUGAGAUAUCUCAUACGCAAGUAGUAAGACCCCUUGA